rnacentral:rRNA from 1 species
CCUACGGGAGGCAGCAGUGGGGAAUAUUGGACAAUGGGCGAAAGCCUGAUCCAGCAACGCCGCGUGAGGGAUGACGGCCUUCGGGUUGUAAACCUCUUUCAGCAGGGACGAAGCGCAAGUGACGGUACCUGCAGAAGAAGCACCGGCCAACUACGUGCCAGCAGCCGCGGUAAUACGUAGGGUGCGAGCGUUGUCCGGAAUUAUUGGGCGUAAAGGGCUCGUAGGCGGUUUGUCACGUCGGGAGUGAAAACUCGGGGCUUAACCCCGAGCCUGCUUCCGAUACGGGCUGACUAGAGGUAUGCAGGGGAGAACGGAAUUCCUGGUGUAGCGGUGAAAUGCGCAGAUAUCAGGAGGAACACCGGUGGCGAAGGCGGUUCUCUGGGCAUUACCUGACGCUGAGGAGCGAAAGUGUGGGGAGCGAACAGGAUUAGAUACCCUGGUAGUCCACACCGUAAACGUUGGGCGCUAGGUGUGGGGCUCAUUCCACGAGUUCCGUGCCGCAGCUAACGCAUUAAGCGCCCCGCCUGGGGAUACGGCCGCAAGGCUAAAACUCAAAUGAAUUGACGG